rnacentral:rRNA from 1 species
UACGUAGGGCGCGAGCGUUGUCCGGAAUUAUUGGGCGUAAAGAGCUCGUAGGCGGUCUGUCGCGUCGGCUGUGAAAUCCCGAGGCUCAACCUCGGGUCUGCAGUCGAUACGGGCAAACUAGAGUAUUGCAGGGGAGACUGGAAUUCCUGGUGUAGCGGUGAAAUGCGCAGAUAUCAGGAGGAACACCGGUGGCGAAGGCGGGUCUCUGGGCAAUAACUGACGCUGAGGAGCGAAAGCGUGGGGAGCGAACAGG